GACGAACGCUGGCGGCGUGCUUAACACAUGCAAGUCGAACGGAAAGGCCCUGCUUUUGUGGGGUGCUCGAGUGGCGAACGGGUGAGUAACACGGGAGUAACCUGCCCUUGACUUUGGGAUAACUUCAGGAAACUGGGGCUAAUACCGGAUAGGAGCUCCUGCUGCAUGGUGGGGGUUGGAAAGUUUCGGCGGUUGGGGAUGGACUCGCGGCUUAUCAGCUUGUUGGUGGGGGAGUGGCUUACCAAGGCUAUGACGGGUAGCCGGCGUGAGAGGGUGACCGGCCAAACGGGAACGGGGACAGGGGCCAGGCGCCUGCGGGAGGGAGCAGUGGGGAAUGUUGGGCAAUGGGCGGAAGGCUGAUCGAGCAAUGCCGCGUGAGGGAAGAAGGGCUUCGGGUCGGAAAGGCGGGUGGUGGGGGAAGAAAAACAACAGGUGAAAAUGACGGUGCUCUGACGGUAGCUAAACAAUAAGAACCGGCUAACUUCGUG
rnacentral:rRNA from 1 species